rnacentral:rRNA from 1 species
GUUGGGUAACACUAACUGGAGGACCGAACCGACUAAUGUUGAAAAAUUAGCGGAUGACCUGUGGCUGGGGGUGAAAGGCCAAUCAAACCGGGAGAUAGCUGGUUCUCCCCGAAAGCUAUUUAGGUAGCGCCUCGUGAAUUCAUCUCCGGGGGUAGAGCACUGUUUCGGCUAGGGGGCCAUCCCGGCUUACCAACCCGAUGCAAACUGCGAAUACCGGAGAAUGUUAUCACGGGAGACACACGGCGGGUGCUAACGUCCGUCGUGAAGAGGGAAACAACCCAGACCGCCAGCUAAGGUCCCAAAGUCAUGGUUAAGUGGGAAACGAUGUGGGAAGGCCCAGACAGCCAGGAUGUUGGCUUAGAAGCAGCCAUCAUUUAAAGAAAGCGUAAUAGCUCACUGGUCGAGUCGGCCUGCGCGGAAGAUGUAACGGGGCUAAACCAUGCACCGAAGCUGCGGCAGCGACACUGUG